rnacentral:rRNA from 1 species
CCUACGGGGAGCAGCAGUGGGGGAUAUUGCACAAUGGGGGAAACCCUGAUGCAGCGACGCCGCGUGAGUGAAGAAGUAUUUCGGUAUGUAAAGCUCUAUCUGCAGGGAAGAAAAUGACAGUACCUGACCAAGAAGCCCCGGCUAACUACGUUCCAGCAGCCGCGGUAAUACGUAGGGGGCAAGCGUUAUCCGGAUGUACCGGGUGUAAAGGGAGCGUAGACGGUUAUGUAAGUCUGGAGUGAAAGUCCGGGGCUCAACCCUGGGACUGCAGUGGAAACUGUGUAACUGGAGUACAGGAGGGGCGGGCGGAAUUCGUGGUGUAGCGGUGAAAGGCGUAGAUAUCAGGAGGAACACCGGCGGCGAAGGCGGAUCGCUGGACUGAAACUGACGUUGAGGCUCGAAAGCGUGGGGAGCAAACAGGAUUAGAUACCCUAGUAGUC